rnacentral:rRNA from 1 species
UACAGAGGGUGCUAGCGUUGUUCGGAAUCAUUGGGCGUAAAGGGCGUGUAGGCGGUUUGUUAAGUCAUGUGUGAAAGCCCCCGGCUCAACCGGGGAACGACGCAUGAAACUGGCAAGCUAGAGUACCGAAGAGGGGGGUGGAAUUCCCGGUGUAGUGGUGAAAUGCGUAGAUAUCGGGAGGAACACCAGUGGCGAAGGCGACUACCUGGCCUGUUCUUGACGCUGAGGCGCGAAAGCUAGGGGAGCAAACGGG